CACUCCCAGCACUGAACAUUCGUUUGCAGGCAUAGAAUUGGAGGAAAACUCACCUCAGCAUUCUUUGCUUGUUCUGUGAACAACGCAGAUGCCUUCCAAAUUAAAAGAGCCAGUGGAACCUGUGAAGAUGCCACCAAGAUAGAAGCCUACUUGAACUCCAUACUCUUUAGCUGAUCUGCUGGAGUUCCUGUGUGCCAUUGAGCUGUUUUAACUUAUCUGGUCUUCUGCAAGGAUAAAAAUAUAGAUGAUUCCCCAUCGAUCCUGACGCAGUUCCACCCUGCAUCCAUCUUUGCAGUAUUCUGUCAAUUCUGUACGAAAACAAGGCUGAUAGAAGCUCGUAAUACAGCAGAAGUCGUUAUCCUCCAACCACACACAUUAACUGGGUUGAUCCUUAGCCAAAAGCACAGGAAGUAAUUUUUGAGUUUCUCUGUUCCCAAAAUCCAGCCUGGCUCUACAGAAGUUGGCAGAUCACACAAGAAAUUCAUCCUGUGAAUUCAAUGAUUGAUUUGUUACAUUCUCAAAAGUGGUUCUGAUGUCUGGGACUUCCAAAAAGAACAGUCUAGACACAAAGUAGUGCUGGUGAUUUUUUAAUCUCAGAACUUACCAACUUCUCUUCACGUCCCACAGUCUUCACUUCUGUCUGAGCAUUUCUCCAAAAGCUGCAUCAGGAAAUGGACUAAAACAAUACUAUCAAAGUAGGACUGCUUCUCAGCUGAUGCUGUUGCACACCGACACUGACCACACCUGUUGCUCUAUGGUUCUUUCACCAAGUUUAAAUGGGCCCAGAAAUCAAUUUGCUUGUUCCAAAGGCAAUUAGCAGCUAUGUUUCUAACACUCUUCUCAUACUGGGCUGUAGAGAAACGGACACAAAAAUCCCUGCCUUCAGGAGAUUACAAAGCAUGUUCAACUGGGUUGACGAUAUUUGACUUAAAAAGGUGUUGAUUUUCCAAGAACCUGCGAGUUAAGCCACUGAAAUACUGCUAAAAUGGAAGUGUUCUUCUUCAGAUGGCAGAUAAGGCAUUUU
ensembl:lncRNA